ensembl:snoRNA
CUUACUUUUUUUUUUAAAUUUGUAGCCAAAAACUUUUAGACAGGUGAGAAAAACAAAUCCUCUUUUGCAACCAGAGCUCACUGUUCAUGAGUUUUGAUACUCUAAGAAGGAUCAUA